GAUGCGAAGGGUUUCGCAUCCAAAUCAGUCAUGGGGUUUCGUUCGGUUCUCCUCCGGGCAUCGCGGGCAAGGCUCAGAUCCUCGCCGUCGCCGGAGGACCCGCGCUUCCGGCGGUCCUUCUCUCAGCUUCUUCACUCGGAACCCGAAAGACCUUCCUUCGGGAUUGCGUUCGACAUUGACGGUGUAAUUAUUCGAGGCCGAACCACCAUCGGAGGUUCCUCUCACGCCCUUCGGAGGCUCUAUCACGCCGACGGCACUCUCAAGGUUCCUUUUUUGUUCUUAACAAACGGAGGUGGCGUCCCUGAAACUAAACGAUCUUUGGAGUUGAGCGAGCUUUUGGGAGUUCCCAUUUCACCUCUACAGGUAGUGCUCGGCCAUUCACCUUUCCGACAAUUGGUCAGCAGAUUUGAGAAUGAGCUUAUAGUUGCAGUUGGAAAAGGAGAACCUUCCCUAGUGAUGGCAGAGUAUGGAUUCAAGAAAGUUCUUUCUAUCAAUGACUAUGCUUCAUACUUUAAUGACAUUGAUCCCCUUUCUCAGUACAAAACCUGGAGUCUCAAACAAUCAUUUGAUAAAAAUUGUAAAUUAAGUUUCCAAUCAAAAUUUAAUGUGCACUCUGAGAGGGUUAAAGGAGCAUUUGUUGUCAGUGAUCCUAUUGAUUGGGGAAGGGAUAUUCAGGUGCUGUGUGAUAUCUUAAGAUAUGGUGGGCUUCCUGGUAAGGGAAAUGGACAUCAACCACCUUUAUAUUUUGCAGCGGAUGAUCUUGAAUACCAGGCUGCAUUUCCCUGCGAGCGUCUCGGGAUGGGUGCUUUCAGGAUAGCACUGGAAAGCAUAUAUAACAGAAUUCAUAGCAGCCCACUGGAGUAUACAUCUUAUGGCAAACCCAAUCCAUCUGUGUUCAAGAAUGCUGAAUCUACUCUGACUAAACUAGCACUGGCUACUUACCCGGCUAAGGAGACGAGGGUCGGCAAGAACUUUGCAUUCAAUAUUAUCUAUAUGAUUGGAGAUAAUCCUAAAGUCGAUGUCAACGGUGCCAAGAAGGCAGGACAUCCUUGGUUUCCUAUUCUGACUAGGACUGGGGUGUUCAAGGGUAAAGACAAUGACGAACAGUUUCCAGCAGACCUGGUGGUGGAUACUGUCGAAGAGGCUGUCGAUUUUAUCCUGAAGAAGGAGAACAUACAAUCAUGACGACUAUUUGUUUUAUUUUCAUUUGUCCAAAGAAACCAAAGUCGGGCGAUGCACGGGAUGAAUGAAUGAUUCCGGUCAAUUCAAGAAUUUCAAGCCCCGAUUGUUUCAACUGCGGAUUCGAUGGAGCAUACUGCCAACGCAUCAAUCUCCGUCCCCCGAUCAACAACCAAUCAGAUCACAGAUCCUUGGCCUAUAAAUAUCAAUGCAUCGAACCCUACUUGGUCCAUCGCUUCGGGUUUCAAAAUUCCCACCUACCCCUUCGAUUGUCGUUCUAAAUCGCUCGUUAGGGAUUGCGAUGGCGCCGAAGGCCGAGAAGAAGCCGGCGGAGAAGAAGCCCGCGGCCGAGAAGCCAGCGGAGGACAAGGAGAAGAAGGCCGAGAAGACCCCCGCCGGUAAGAAGCCCAAGGCCGAGAAGCGCAUCCCCUCCAAGGAUGCCGCCGCCGGUGGUGAUAGG